CAUAUCCUCUCUCUGCCCAUUAAAAAGCAUGCAAGAAUAGUGAGUUAAAAACAAAACAUAAAUAAAAAAUGGCCAAACAAAGUUUAGAAAUACACACUGAGCCUUCACUACCUUAUCAAGCCACCAAAUAAUGCUAAAAAAUUCACUAUACAAACCUUGUUUGAUGUUGCUCCACCAUUCAAUGCAUGAAAACAAAUGCAUUGCUCCACCAUUCAAUUUUUGUUCUUCCACUCUACUACAAAACUACAAAACUACAAAACUAAAACACAAAUUUUAGAAACAAAACAUAGUUUAAAAAAUGGCCAAACAAAGUUUAGAAAUACACACUGAGCCUUCACUACCUUUCUAUUUUGUAAUUCAGUUUUUGUUCUUCCACUCUACUACAAAACUACAAAUUGUCAAUUUCAUUCAUGUUAAAAAUGCAAAUCUAAAACACAACAGUGUAGAAAUUAAGCUUAAGUUUCAAAAACAAACUUCAUAUCUAAAAAAUACAUCAGCCAAUUAAAUCUUCCAAACUAAUGAGCAACUAAUUGUUGUUUCCAAUAACAUAUUUUAAAAGAAAUUUUGGAAAUAUCAAAUCCUAAGCUAGGUUAAAAUCAACUUAAAAUCAAUUCAUAAAUAUCAAUUCNNNNNNNNNNNNNNNNNNNNNNNNNNNNNNNNNNNNNNNNNNNNNNNNCAGGCACCUACUUUUACAGGUGGAGGCCUGUCAGAUUGUUAGAAGAAAGCUUGAUGUACAAAGAAUACAAAUUGACACGUGUUUGCUUACACAUUCAUUGUAAUUGCAUUCAGUGCAGCAUCAAGAGAGAGCUCUAGUACUUCAUUGCUUAUCUGUAAAUUAAGAGAAGUUAAAAGUUUGACAGAGAAGGAGUAACUAUCUGAGAAAAUAAAAUAGGACAGAAAAUAGUUACCACAGGAGAAUUUGGCAACUGGAGUAAAGAUACAAGCAUAUAGAAAGGGGUAUUCAAGAGAAUCUGUCACAAAAAAAGUGGGAAAGUGAAAUAAAUACACACACGCGCGCGCAUAUGCAUGCAUGUAUCAUAACUGAAGCAUAACGGAAGCUUAAGGAAGCAUUUGAGAAAUGAGCAUUUGAGAAAUGAGCAUUUGAGAAAUGACCUAUUAGAAAGUCCUCGGCAACUUUUUCACAUGUUACAAAUUGGGACCAUUGGGUGCACACCAUGGCAAUAUUAAUACAGCAUACGUUUCACGCGAAGGAAGGAGGGAAUAAACAUGACGAGGAAUGAUAAGAUAAGCUUGACAAUCCUAGUUGAGGCAUCCAGAAAUUUGUGUGAAGACUCUGGGGCACUU
rnacentral:lncRNA from 1 species